UAGUAAUCGUAGGUCAGCAUACUACGGUGAAUACGUUCCCGGGCCUUGUACACACCGCCCGUCAAACCAUGAGAGUUGGCAACACCCGAAGUCGGUAGUCUAACCGCAAGGAGGACGCCGCCGAAGGUGGGGUUGAUGAUUAGGGUUAAGUCGUAACAAGGUACC
rnacentral:rRNA from 1 species